rnacentral:rRNA from 1 species
UACGUAGGGGGCUAGCGUUGUCCGGAAUCAUUGGGCGUAAAGAGCGUGUAGGCGGCUCAGUAAGUCCGCUGUGAAAGUCCAGGGCUCAACCCUGGAAUGCCAGUGGAAACUGUUGAGCUAGAGUCCGGAAGAGGCGAGUGGAAUUCCUGGUGUAGCGGUGGAAUGCGCAGAUAUCAGGAGGAACACCGAUGGCGAAGGCAGGUCUCUGGGCCGUUACUGACGCUAAGGAGCGAAAGCAUGGGGAGCGAACAGG